ACGACUACUCGCUCGAAUAUCUCGCGUGUAACGCGUAAAAAAGGAUGCCAGAACACGAAGAAUCGUUGAAUAUUAACAAGCCGAUGUCCCAUUCGGAUUCCACGCUGUACAUGGACUCACAAUCUGCCAUGGUUUAGAGAAAGACGCGACUUCGCGUCACACGCGAAAGUGUUAAAAAAGAUAGCGAGACGGUGGCUGGACGAAGAGGUGCACGGGUCUGACGGAAGUCGAGUGUGUUCCCGCAUACGCUUAGCACCUUUUUGUAUCCGCUUGGAUGUACACAAGUUCGCGAAAGUAUUCCAACGUGCGUAGAUAAUUUCUGAGUGUAUCGCGCGUACCGUACGAAACAUUCUGAAACUUCUGUUAACGCCGUUAAGAGGCUCGGUCAUCGACAUUAUAUUCGCAAUGUUCGAAGCAAAUUUGAAAAUUGUAUCCAUCGAAGUGUAUAUCUCGAGGAGAUCGUAGUAUACUGAACAAACGAUUAUUCGUUGCGUUAAAAUAAACUGGUAUUCCAUAGGAUCAUCGUUAACACGCCUAAGAUGCUUAUCCUCGUUUCUGUAUAUGUAUAUCUUUGUAUUGGUUUCAAAUAACAGUGUAACCAUGACGAUGUCUCGUUACGUAAAUUUCAAAAUGUUUUAUACGACACACGC
rnacentral:misc_RNA from 1 species